rnacentral:rRNA from 1 species
AGAGUUUGAUCCUGGCUCAGAACGAACGCUGGCGGCGUGCCUAACACAUGCAAGUCGAGCGCGAGGCGGCCUUCGGGUCGUAGUAGAGCGGCGCACGGGUGAGUAACACGUGGGUAAUCUACCCUCGGGACCGGGAUAACCCAGGGAAACUUGGGCUAAUACCGGAUAAGACCACGCGACGAGAGUCGUGCGGGAAAAGCAGAGGACCUCUUCGGAGGCUUUGUACCCUUGGAUGAGCCCGCGGCCCAUCAGGUAGUUGGCGGGGUAACGGCCCACCAAGCCAAAGACGGGUAGCUGGUCUGAGAGGAUGAUCAGCCACACUGGAACUGAGACACGGUCCAGACUCCUACGGGAGGCAGCAGUGGGGAAUCUUGCGCAAUGGGCGAAAGCCUGACGCAGCAACGCCGCGUGAGUGAUGAAGGUCUUCGGAUCGUAAAGCUCUGUCGGCAGGAAAGACGGGGUGGUUGGCUAAUAUCCAACUAUUCUGACGGUACCUGCAAAGGAAGCACCGGCUAACUCUGUGCCAGCAGCCGCGGUAAGACAGAGGGUGCAAGCGUUGUUCGGAAUUAUUGGGCGUAAAGGGCGCGUAGGCGGCCGCAUAAGUCAGGUGUGAAAGCCCGGGGCCCAACCCCGGAAGUGCGCCUGAUACUGUGUGGCUUGAAUCCCGGAGAGGGUGGUGGAAUUCCCAGUGUAGAGGUGAAAUUCGUAGAUAUUGGGAGGAAUACCGGUGGCGAAAGCGACCACCUGGACGGUGAUUGACGCUGAGCGCGAAAGCGUGGGGAGCAAACAGGAUUAGAUACCCUGUAGUCCACGCCGUAAACGAUGGGUACUAGGUGUUGUGGGUAUUGACCCCGCAGUGCCGACGCUAACGCAUUAAGUACCCCGCCUGGGAAGUACGGCCGCAAGGCUAAACUCAAAUGAAUUGACGG